rnacentral:rRNA from 1 species
UUGAACGCUGGCGGCAGGCCUAACACAUGCAAGUCGAGCGGUAGAGAGAAGCUUGCUUCUCUUGAGAGCGGCGGACGGGUGAGUAAUGCCUAGGAAUCUGCCUGGUAGUGGGGGAUAACGUUCGGAAACGGACGCUAAUACCGCAUACGUCCUACGGGAGAAAGCAGGGGACCUUCGGGCCUUGCGCUAUCAGAUGAGCCUAGGUCGGAUUAGCUAGUUGGUGGGGUAAUGGCUCACCAAGGCGACGAUCCGUAACUGGUCUGAGAGGAUGAUCAGUCACACUGGAACUGAGACACGGUCCAGACUCCUACGGGAGGCAGCAGUGGGGAAUAUUGGACAAUGGGCGAAAGCCUGAUCCAGCCAUGCCGCGUGUGUGAAGAAGGUCUUCGGAUUGCAAAGCACUUUAAGUUGGGAGGAAGGGCAGUAAAUUAAUACUUUGCUGUUUUGACGUUACCGACAGAAUAAGCACCGGCUAACUCUGUG